rnacentral:rRNA from 1 species
GAUCAUGGCUCAGAACGAACGCUGGCGGCAGGCUUAACACAUGCAAGUUGAGCGGGAUUCAAAGUAGCUUGCUAUUUGGAUGAGAGCAGCGCACUGGUGAGUAACACGUGGGAACAUACCUUUUGGUGGGGGACAACAGUCGGAAACGACUGCUAAUACCGCAUAAGCCCUAAGGGGGAAAGAUUUAUUGCCGAAAGAUUGGCCCGCGGAAGAUUAGGUAGUAGGUGGGGUAACGGCCUACCUAGCCGACGAUCUAUAGCUGGUCUGAGAGGACGAUCAGCCACAUUGGAACUGAGACACGGUCCAGACUCCUACGGGAGGCAGCAGUGAGGAAUAUUGGGCAAUGGAGGCAACUCUGACCCAGCCAUGCCGCGUGAGUGAAGAAGGUUUUCGGAUUGUAAAGCUCUUUCAGACGGGAAGAUGGUGACGGUACCGUCAGAAGAAGCACCGGCUAACUUCGUGCCAGCCGCGGC